CCUACGGGUGGCAGCAGUGGGGAAUAUUGGACAAUGGGGUGAACCCUGAUCCAGCGACGCCGCGUGAGUGAAGAAGUAUUUAGGUAUGUAAAGCUCUAUCAGCAGGGAAGAAAGAAAUGACGGUACCUGACUAAGACGCCCCGCCUAACACCGUGCCAGCACCCGCAGUAAUCCGUAGGGGGAAAGCGUUACCCGGAUUUCCUGGGUGUAAAGGGGGCGUCGACGGCGAUGGAAGGCUGAAGUGAAAGGCGGGGGCCCAACCCCUGGACUGCGUUGGAAACUGUAUGGCUUGAGUGCAGGAGAGGUAAGUGGAAUUCCUAGUGUAGCGGUGAAAUGCGUAGAUAUUAGGAGGAACACCAGUGGCGAAGGCGGCUUACUGGACUGUAACUGACGUUGAGGCUCGAAAGCGUGGGGAGCAAACAGGAUUAGAUACCCCUGUAGUC
rnacentral:rRNA from 1 species